UACGAAGGGGGCGAGCGUUGUUCGGAAUCAUUGGGCGUAAAGGGCGCGUAGGCGGGCUUGUAAGUCGAUUGUGAAAUCCCUGGGCUUAACCCGGGAAUUGCAGUCGAAACUGCAAGUCUUGAGUUCUCGAGAGGAUGGUGGAAUUCCUGGAGUAGUAGUGAAAUACGUAGAUAUCAGGAGGAACACCGGAGGCGAAGGCGGCCAUCUGGCGAGACACUGACGCUAAGGCGCGAAAGCGUGGGUAGCAAACGAGG
rnacentral:rRNA from 1 species